GACGAACGCUGGCGGCGUGCUUAACACAUGCAAGUCGAACGGAAAGGCGCUGCUUUUGUUGGUUGCUCGAUUGGCGCACGGGUGAGUAUCACGUGAGUAUCCUGCCCUUGACAUUCGGAUAUCUUCAGGAAACUGGGGCUCAUACCGGAUAGGAGCUCCUGCUGCAUGGUGGGGGUUGGAAAGAUUCGGCGGUUGUGGAUCGACUCGCGGCUUAUCAGCUUGUUGGUGGGGUAGUGGCUUACCAAGGCUUUGACGGCUAGCCGGCCUGAGAGGGUUACCGGCGACAUGGGGACUGAGAGACGGCGCAGAAGGGUACGGGAGGCAGCAGUGGAGAAUAUGGCACAAUGGGCGGAAGCCUGAGGCAGCAGCGCCGCGUGCGGGAUGACGGCCUUCGAGUUGUAAACCGCUGUCGCCUGUGACGAAGCGUGAGUGACGGUAAUGGGUAAAGAAGCACCGGCUAACUACGUG
rnacentral:rRNA from 1 species